rnacentral:lncRNA from 1 species
UUUGACAAGAGUGAUGAAUUCUGGCCUCAGAGAUUUCCUAACUGUGUGACCCUGGGCAAGUCUCUUAACCCCCAUUGCCUAGCCCUUACCACUCUUCUACCUUGGAACCAAUAUACAGUAAUGGAUCUAUGACAGAAGGGAACUGGAAACAAAAUAGAUGCCCACGGAUUGGGGAGAGAAAUAAACAAAUGAAGAACAUGAAGUAA